rnacentral:rRNA from 1 species
UUCCGGUUGAUCCUGCCGGAAGUCAUUGCUAGUGGAGUCCGAUUUAGCCAUGCUAGUUGCACGAGUUCAGACUCGUAGCAGAUAGCUCAGUAACACGUGGCCAAACUACCCUACAGAGCGCGAUAACCUCGGGAAACUGAGGCUAAUAGCGCAUACGGCUCUCACGCUGGAAUUGCGGAGAGCUCGAAACGCCCCGGCGCUGUAGGAUGUGGCUGCGGCCGAUUAGGUAGACGGUGGGGUAACGGCCCACCGUGCCAGUAAUCGGUACGGGUUGUGAGAGCAAGAGCCCGGAGACGGUAUCUGAGACAAGAUACCGGGCCCUACGGGGCGCAGCAGGCGCGAAACCUUUACACUGCACGCCAGUGCGAUAAGGGGACUCCAGGUGCGAGGGCAUAUAGUCCUCGCUUUUGUACACCGUAAGGUGGUGUACGAAUAAGUGCUGGGCAAGACCGGUGCCAGCCGCCGCGGUAAUACCGGCAGCACGAGUGAUGACCGCUAUUAUUGGGCCUAAAGCGUCCGUAGCUGGCCAGGCAAGUCCGUCGGGAAAUCUCCCCGCUCAACGGGGAGGCGUCCGGUGGAAACUGCCUGGCUUGGGACCGGAAGAUCCAGAGGGUACGUCCGGGGUAGGAGUGAAAUCCCGUAAUCCUGGACGGACCACCGGUGGCGAAAGCGCUCUGGAAAGACGGAUCCGACGGUGAGGGACGAAAGCUCGGGUCACGAACCGGAUUAGAUACCCGGGUAGUCCGAGCUGUAAACGAUGUCUGCUAGGUGUGCCACAGGCUACGAGCCUGUGGUGUGCCGUAGGGAAGCCGUGAAGCAGACCGCCUGGGAAGUACGUCCGCAAGGAUGAAACUUAAAGGAAUUGGCGGGGGAGCACUACAACCGGAGGAGCCUGCGGUUUAAUUGGAUUCAACGCCGGA